CGCCUCUCUCUUGCUGUGACCAACUGGAGCUGGCCUGGGUGACUGAAUUUGGUACAUCGUCGUGGCAAGAUGCGGUCUGAUUUCCAGUUGUUGGACGAGCAGAAGGACGCUAUGGAUGCAACCUGAAGGUCCAAGACUCAAUCCACUGAAGGCUCUCCGUAAGAUGGUGGAUCUGAUGUCUGCUUUGUGGUCCUAUAGGACGACGCCAUGGAUUGGGGUCAGAGAUGCGCCUGAGAAGUGCUGUAAAUGCUGGCCAUAUGACUUCAACCUUCAUCCAACCAAACGAAGAGAUCCUGCUUUCCUACACUCCAUUCAGGAUGUUAGUUAAUUCAAAGACAAUAACAGUAUUUAGUUUUGUAAAUGCUUAACUACCACUCAAUGCAGGACACAUAUACUGGCAGUUGAUGGAGGGGGUUUAGGGCAGUUGUGCUAUUCUUUUCCUUGUGGGUAGACUGCAGAAUGUGGCUAUGUAUGCAGGUGUUAAAUUGUGGGAUUUGUUGAAAAUGUGAAUUUCAAAUAAAACCCUACCAUUCAAA